UACGGAGGGAGCUAGCGUUGUUCGGAAUUACUGGGCGUAAAGCGCACGUAGGCGGCUUUGUAAGUUAGAGGUGAAAGCCCGGGGCUCAACUCCGGAAUUGCCUUUAAGACUGCAUCGCUUGAAUCCGGGAGAGGUGAGUGGAAUUCCGAGUGUAGAGGUGAAAUUCGUAGAUAUUCGGAAGAACACCAGUGGCGAAGGCGACGUACUGGACGAUUGUUGACGCUGAGGUGCGAAAGCGUGGGGAGCAAACAGG
rnacentral:rRNA from 1 species